GUCAAUUGAGGAAGUAAAAGUCGUAACAAGGUUUCCGUAGGUGAACCUGGCGGAAGGAUCAUUAGUGAAUAUAGGACGUCCAACUUAACUUGGAGUCCGAACUCUCACUUUCUAACCCUGUGCACUUGUUUGGGAUAGUAACUCUCGCAAGAGAGCGAACUCCUAUUCACUUAUAAACACAAAGUCUAUGAAUGUAUUAAAUUUUAUAACAAAAUAAAACUUUCAACAACGGAUCUCUUGGCUCUCGCAUCGAUGAAGAACGCAGCGAAAUGCGAUAAGUAAUGUGAAUUGCAGAAUUCAGUGAAUCAUCGAAUCUUUGAACGCACCUUGCGCUCCAUGGUAUUCCGUGGAGCAUGCCUGUUUGAGUGUCAUGAAUACUUCAACCCUCCUCUUUCUUAAUGAUUGAAGAGGUGUUUGGUUUCUGAGCGCUGCUGGCCUUUACGGUCUAGCUCGUUCGUAAUGCAUUAGCAUCCGCAAUCGAACUUCGGAUUGACUUGGCGUAAUAGACUAUUCGCUGAGGAAUUCUAGUCUUCGGACUAGAGCCGGGUUGGGUUAAAGGAAGCUUCUAAUCAGAAUGUCUACAUUUUAAGAUUAGAUCUCAAAUCAGGUAGGACUACCCGCUGAACUUAAGCAUAUC
rnacentral:rRNA from 1 species